rnacentral:lncRNA from 10 species
AAGCGCCAAGCUCUUCGCCAACCAAGUUCCUCCAGAGAAACUGAGAAGCGCGUUUGUGUUCCAGCAGAACGGAGUAAAUUGCUUUGGGCUGUGUGUAUUUAAAGGGGCAAGGAACGCAGUCUUCUGAUUGGUGUGCGUCCGCUCGCCGUGUCCAUGGUAACCAGCUAGCGCCCUGACCCGGCCCGGACCUCAGCUGCGGGGAGACUACCGGAAGCUAAGGAGAACAGCCCGCAGCCUACGCCGCGGGGCCCUGGUGACCGGUUUGGUUAGUCUCGGGCUCUCGAGUCUGCCAGGAGUCUAACAACGCAGUUCUCCUCUUCGGCGGUCUUAGGUUUCCUCUUCAAUGGCACAGAUUUUUGCCCAUCUGUCCUUCUUUUUCUCCCUACCUUUAGUUCCUGUGAUUCAGGUGCCUACAGCAGGGAGACCUGCCACGGCGCGCAGGUGAUGUCUUGAGACAUGGGGCUGGGGUCCAACAGAGUAAAGGCCAGGAAUUUCUUUCUCCUGGUGAUGAAUAAUUACUGGCCGCAUUGAUUGAUAGCAUAUUCCAUUCUAGACGCAGGACACACCUAUGAAGUAUGGUCUCUCUGAUUAAAUUUUAUCAACGCAUUGUGGUUAAGGAAUGUGUCCAAGGUAUAGACUGAGCAAAACCAAACAGGGACGGGGUCAGACCAUGUCUUAACCAUGCAGGCAGGUUGUGGGAACGAGCUUGAGAAGUACAUUUCUGAGUGCCUUAGACCAGAUUGCCUGGGAGGGGAAUGAAAUGAGGAUGAUGAGGCUGGAAGGUCAGGCUGAGAUCACCUGGGCUCCUGAUCCCACCAUUCUAGACCUGAUUUCCACGUGGCCCCAGGUAUCCCUGAGAUAGCUCACAUGACUAGAAUGUAGGAACGUGGUCCUGCCUCUCUUGGGAGGCAGUCUUGGCCUAGUCCCAAGGGCUCAUUUGGAGAACAAGACAGAUUUAUACUUCACUGAGCACCACUAAGUAGCAUUAGGCCCUUUCAGCAUCUAACUUGAAGUGGUCACAGUGAGAAGUCUAUAUCCUGUUCUUUUCUCUGCUCAGGUGUUCUUGGGAUUCUCUGGGUCCUCUGGCUCACAGCCUUACGCACCUGCUCUUCCCUUCACAGCCUAGGAGACCUGGUCUUCUCUGGGUCAGAUGCCCAUAUCAUACAGUAGGAAUAGGGGCUGUUCGAUUUCAGAAUGAUUCCAUCAAAUCCAAGACAACAAGUUAGCUUAAUUUAGGUAUACUCCAACAUUGUCAAAGCCUAUUCAAUAGAAAAUAUGUAACUUGUUUGUGCAAGUCUUUCAUAAUUAUUUUCAUGCCAUGUUUCCGUUUCAAUCUUAAUAAUUUCUUGCUUCUGUGAUAAGCUAAAUCCUUCAAAUCUUGGACCCCAUAAGGUGUCAGAGACCAGGGCCAGGGCCCUGCUUUCCAAGGCCUAACAGGAUCUGACUGUUGAUUUCUAUUCUGGUUAUCUAUUGGUGUCAUCUAAAAAUAAGCAUUUAUUAUACUAAUGAAUUUGUGCAUUGUGAAUUCAGAAAGGGAACAGUGGGGAAAUCUUGUCUGCACAACAGUGACUGGGUCAUGAGCUGGGAUGGAUUGAAUUACUGGAUGUGACCGUGACAGCUACGCUGUACCGUGUACCUGUCAGCUGAAUUUCUUGGUUCUAACUCGUGUGACAUGUACUGCAGCUGGGAUGUCCAAUAUAACUUUUUUACUCACAUGUCUGAGAUGGUUCAAACAUCAGAGCAUGACUGAGCAGAGGCCUCUCUUUGUGAGUCUUUUCCAUAUAGCUAACUGGGGCUUCAUCACAGCAAAACUGUCUCAGUGCAGUCAGAUAUCCCCCUAAACAACUUAACUAAGAGAUGCUGGUAGAAGCUACAAGGCCUCUUAGGAGCUUGUCUCAGAAUUCAAUCAGUUUCACUUCCAACACAUUCUUUUAACCAAAAGUGAAUCCAAGACUCAUCUCAGAUUGAAAAUAAGGGGAUCAUACAAAGUAUUGAUUCCUCACUAGCAUGCUACAUUGGGGGCGGGCAUCUUUUGAGAUCAGCUACAACAAAUACUGAUGAGGUGAAUUAAAUUACUCUAAAAAUUCUCAUAUUAUUCAGCUUCUAGCCAAGAUAUGAUGAAAGGGACUGAAUUUGCUUUCCUAACUGACCUAAAACAAAACAAACCAAAAGUGGAAUAAAAUAUAGUAAACAAUGAGUUUCAAGACAGUAGACAUCAGGCAAGUAAGGACAGUUAUCCCUGAAAUAUGUGAAACAAAUGAGGCAGGCCCUACAACUACCCCAGUUUUCUGUCUUCAAAGAGUUUCCAGGCUGCAGUGCAGGGAAGCAAGACCAAAUGGAACUCAGUGGAGUCCCUAAGUGGAGGAGAUGUAAUUGGAGUACAGAAAGACCAAACCCGCUAAAGCUCGCAAGAAAGAAUACUGGAGAAAAGAAAGCUGCACACAGAGAGAAGCCUGAAAACCUACAGAGGAUCUUCCUCAAGUAAUGAAUGAAUGUGUGCAGAUGAGGACACUAACCAAGGUGGAGGAAGGGAGGAGGGCACCUAAAAGAAUUAGUGAGAACAGUAUCCAAUCAACACACAGGGCCUGAAAUAGUAUCUGUUUCCACCGUCGAGAAAGGAAAGCAUUAUAAUUCAUAAGGCAUUGGGGAAAAUUCUCAAAUGGUCUUUCUUAGUAGUGAACAGCAGUAAAAAAUAAUAAAGUCAACUUACACAUAGCAACAUGUAUAAAUUUGAAGAUAUAGCAUUGAUAGAAAAAGAAUAACAGAUUUACAACCCAGUGACAGUUAUAUAAAUUCAAUUUUAAAAGAAUUUUUUCAUAAAUUAAGUAUAUCCCUGUAUAAGCAUACUGAAAAUUAAUUAGAAAGAUAUAUUUUAAAUCCACUGGAGUUUUCACUUUCCUAAAGGGAAGGGAAAUAGGAGGAAUGUUGGAAAAUACAGGAAAAGAAAUAAAGCAAAAGUCUUGAAGAAACUUAUGAUGCUUGUUUCCAUUAGUUGAUAAGUGUGAAUAAUUCAUAUAAGGUUCAAAAUGAAAAUAAAACCUAAAGGAAAAACAUAGUUGCUAACUAAUAUUGGGUUAUUUAUAAAUUCCAUUUUUAAACCUCUCACCACAAAAAAAAUUAUUAUAGGUCUUUUUUCUCUGAAUAUCACAUUGCAUUUUCUCAGUAAGAUUUUGUUCAGUUUUCUCUUGCAUUUUUAUCAUAAUACCUUCAUAAAAGUCAUGAUAGAUUAACACCAAUCCAUUCAAUAGCAUGGUUUGGGCAGUGCCUAUCAAACAAAACAAGCAGGAAGCCCACAAAAAUUUCCAUUCACUUAUUGGAUCCACAGAAGCUGCUCAGUGUGCAUAGGCAGAUGAAUAUGAACACAGAUGGAUGUGAACAUAAGAUCCCUGUACCCAGGAGACGUACUUACUGCCUACAGGACAAGCAGUCAGUGUAGCACUGGAUUACCGGGGGUUUUUUGUCACAGAAAGAAAGAGAAUAAUUUUCUUCUCCCAUCUAACUGCCUGUUUUUCCCAGGAGGACCUUUUGGUCCUACGGGAAGAGGGAUUAAGAAGUUCCCAGAGGUCAGAGUUUCUGAGGCACUACAAUUAUAACUGCCCCAGAUACUUCUGAAACUAACAAGAGCUCCAAUAUUAAUGGAGCCAAACCCCAUGCUUCACAUUUUCUGUGAGUCUGGCUAGAGGAUGUUAAUGGUGGCUAUACAAAGAUUAGCCAGAAGACUAGAGAGAUCUCUGUCUUCAGUCCCUAUCUGUGCUCUUUUCCAUUCCUGCGUCAAUACUGCUGAAGUAGUCUGAGAAGGAAAUAAAUAAAGACUGCACCCUGUCUCAGGUAAAGAGGCUUAUGUGCUCUGGGACCUUCUCUCUUUUGCCAUCCUCUGGGUGCUUGGUGGUAGCAGAAAUGCAGGAAAGUUGCAAUUUGUCUAUAGAAGAUUAACAGGCAGUAUGAGAGCUAAAAAGUGCAUAAUUUGGAGCCAAGUAAAGAAAAUUUGGAGUUUUCAACUCUGAAUAUGGAAAUUUAGUGGCUUGAAAACAAAGAAUAUGCCUACCAGUGUCUGAAUUAUAAAGUUAGAAUUACAUUAGUUUCUAUAACUUCAGAGGUUGAAGACAAAGACCACAGUUCAGGACCAGUGGAAGUCAGGAAGUAGUUCAAAAUAUUUCUGAUCAAAAUUGCUAAAAUCUACUUCUGACAAGAACAGAAAACUACGCCCAGAAGAGCAGCUAGCUACCUGUCACUGGAUGCACUGAAUAAUAUCUGAAACUACACCUGAGAGAGGUAUCUUACAGGCCUGCCUGAAUUUUACCAAGAUAGAACCCUAGCAACUCUUUUACUUUUUAAAACAGGGUUUCUUUGGCACUAUUCUGUGGGCCUAUCUUGCAACCUGGGAAAGCCUAGGCUGAUGGUCUCUCCUUUAGUCUUUGAGCUUCAACUUCUUUGGCUUUCUCAUCUUGUUCCUGGCUGGAACUGGAAACCAUUAGCUCCAGUUCCUAAGCCCUAGUGUGCCAUUGGCAAGUUUUGAUUACAAACCAAGAUUGAAUAAUGAAAGGAGAAAAGGAGCAAAUGUGUUUCCAGAUGCUUUACUUCUAGGGAUGAGUACUUUAUUGAUGCUUGUUGAAUGAUUGAAAAACAUGCAGAAACAUUAGAGAAAAUAGAAGGAAAAAGGAAAAGUCAGUGAGUUAGAAAAAUAAAAUAAUCCUCCCAUGUAAUCCUCAGAAAUUUCAUCUUAGUGCUAAAAAUAAUUAUCCCAAAGCUCUUCAAGAGACAGAAAAUAUACUUUUUCCUCUAGGCUUCUCUAUGGAUACUCAUGCCUAAGUCACUAGAUCUUCCAUUUGGCUCUACCCUGCAAAGGUCAUUUCAAGAUUUUCUCUACUUCCAAGCACAAAACAUUUAAUUCCUUCUAGGAGUCCUUUGUGACCCCUGGAGAAGAAAAGCUACUUGGAAAGGAGAAAAGAAUUGGGAGAAUAUCUAAAUCUCUUCUAUAUAUGAGGUGAAGGGCCAUGCCUGGCAGACUACAUGGGGAAUCAGAGGAUCAAGAGGAGUGAAGAGAGGAUCCCUGGAGGAAUGCCCGUCCUCCCUCCACUGACAGCAGCCACAGUUACUAACAGGGUCUUUCUGAUGAGGAGAAUCUGACAGGACCCAGUUGAGCAAGGACUGGAACUGCUUUUGGGGAAUAGGAAAGACAACUGAAAACAAAAAGCCUACCUGAACCUCUUCCAAAAAAAAAGGGAAUACAUUGGAGAAAAAAACACAGUAGUUGAAAUUUCAGUCCUCAGUGGUGGAAAGUUGCUACUGGUCUGUAAGUAGGUCUUUUUCUCUCACCCUUCAACCACAUCAUUGCCUUUCUCUAGUUCUCUUUCUCCCCUCACCUCCUCUCUCUCCCUCUCCUUCUCUUUCUCUGGAAGACAAGUAAAUUUUUGUAAUGUGCAUUGCAAGAGGGCAAGGGUUUUGCCUUGAUUCCUCAUGAGUAACAAUUAUCAAUGAGUUUUACUGGAUAUAUGAGAUUCUUGAAUCCUCUUCCCCAAUGUGUCUGUGCUUAGAACAUUUAUCUUUCAGAUCCAAUAUAUCACAGGUUUUGAUAUGCAAACAAAUCUUUAUUAAUGAGUCAAAAGAUUGCUGGUAUUAGAGCAUACAAUCUAGCAAUAAUAUUGACACCUAAAAUACUUUUCCUGAACAUUAUUUUCUCAUUAAUUGGACAGCUUCUAAGCACACAUGGUGUCCUGUGAAUUAUGUUAGCUAUUAAGAAACAAAAAUAAAAAGAAUAUUGUUGUUGAUUUGAGGACCUCAAAGUUUGGGUAGGAAAAAUACAAAUAUGCACUCCAGAACACAUUCUUCUAAACUGUAGAGCAGUGAGGAAUGGGAUAAAAGAUAUGUAUGGGCAGUAAGAUACUUGGUCCUGUAAGGAAACAUUAGAUAAAGAGAAGGUCUGGGCAGUAGGCCUUGCACAGCCACACACCCACAUGCACACACAUACAUACCCACAGCAUAAAAGUUGUGUCCCGCCUGGGAAGAAAUCAAAUAAGAGAAUUCACUGUGUUUCCCAUUAUUCAUCCAAUACCUGAUAAUAGUGAGCGAUUUGUUUUAGAAUAUUCUUCUAAAUACAAGAUUCUGUGCUUCAGUAACAACUUACAAGUAUGUGUUACUUUGUUUUGACCAUACAAGGAAAAUUUCUCAAGU